rnacentral:rRNA from 1 species
UACGGAGGGUGCAAGCGUUAUCCGGAUUCACUGGGUUUAAAGGGUGCGUAGGCGGGCUUGUAAGUCAGUGGUGAAAGCCCGGGGCUUUAACUCCGGAACUGCCGUUGAUACUGCAAGCCUUGAGUACAGUUGAGGUGGGCGGAAUACAUCAUGUAGAGGUGAAAAUUCUUAGAUAUGAUGUAGAACACCGAUUGCGAAGGCAGCUCACUAAAGUGUAACUGACGCUGAGGCACGAAAGCGUGGGGGAUCAAAACAGG